GAUUGUCCAACUUUCACUUUUGCUAUUGUUUAAACUAUCACUAGCCGAAAGUGAUGGUAAAGGAAUGAAAGUUGGUGCUUAGUCAUGCACAUCAUUAUCUUUUCACUUUUGCUAUGCUUUUGCUAUAUUUUUAGCAUGAAAGUGUGCAGAGAACAAUUGGUGAAAGAGUGUGUGAGAAAGAGUUAGAGAGAGAUAGGUGAUUUGCAAUUCUCUAGAUUGAGAUAAGGAUUCGAAGAUCGUUGCCAUCCAACGUUGAAUCUUGCCGUGGGAACAAUUCGGAAGAUCAACUCUGGAGUCGAUCACUUCUCGUUUCGCAGGUAUACUUCUUUUACUACCUUGUAGGAUUAUGGUUUUUGUAUGUACUUGUUAGAUAUCCGAAAUGGAUCGUGG
rnacentral:lncRNA from 1 species